GUGGAGCCAGAGAUCUUGUUGGACGGAGAACACGACAUUGACAGGACUUACGAAGUAGCUGAGAAGGUUUGGGCUGAGGUUUUCUUUUACCUUGCUCAGAACAAUGUCAUGUUUGAAGGUAUCCUCCUGAAGCCGAGCAUGGUGACUCCCGGAGCCGAGUCUAAAGACAGAGCUACUCCUGAACAAGUUGCUGCCUACACCCUUAAGCUCCUCCGCAACAGAAUCCCUCCAGCCGUCCCCGGAAUCAUGGCAAGCUCUAUUCUAUAAGAAAAUGAGUUUUGUUAUUAAUGAGGAAAACCUAGAUCUUGGUUUCUUGUGGUGGAAGUAAAGUUGUUUGUGUUUUCUUUUUUUGUGCAGUUCUUGUCCGGAGGACAGUCUGAGUUGGAGGCAACGUUGAACCUCAACGCGAUGAACCAGGCACCAAACCCAUGGCACGUGUCCUUCUCCUACGCACGUGCUCUCCAGAACACUUGUCUGAAAACAUGGGGAGGCAGAGCUGAGAACGUGAACGCUGCUCAGACCACUCUCUUGGCUCGUGCCAAGGCCAACUCGUUGGCUCAGCUUGGAAAAUACACCGGAGAAGGCGAGUCUGAAGAGGCUAAGGAGGGUAUGUUCGUCAAAGGCUA
rnacentral:lncRNA from 1 species